ensembl:antisense 4933428P19Rik RIKEN cDNA 4933428P19 gene
AAAGUAGCAAGUGAGGCUGGAGUAGGCGGCGAGAACUCAGAGGGAGUUGGUAGGCAGAUGGAGGGUAGGUGUUAUGACAAAUUAAAAGGGACUAAACUUCGCUAUGAAACCCAGGCUAGCCAAGAACCCAAAGCAAUCCUCCUGCCGCAGCCUCCCUAGUACUGGAAUUUCAGGCCGGGUGUUGUGCAAUGCUGGGGACUGAACCAACUGAGAGACGUGCGCAGCCAGGAGGAGCGUUUUGGAUGCAGAACUCCCGCCUCAGCAUCUCACCUGCGCCUGGAUGUAGAGAGACACACAGCCGAGCGACAGGCGGUAGGGGCGCAGCAACGACAGGCACCUGACCAGAUGCUCCUCGCCGGCAGACAGUUCCUCCGUGUCGAUGUGGUUCACACCAAGGUGGAACUCGACCACCGCGAGGCGCAGCGCCCGCUGCGCUCCGGGGCCCUCAGCCUCCCGGGGCUCACCCGCGCCCAAGGCCUGGUCGCCCGGCCCAUCGUCAGCAGCCGGCUCGUCCUCGUCCUCGGGCGCCGGGCCCAGCAGCGCGCGCACCUCCUCCAACAGCGCGCGCGCGCCGUACUUGGACUUGUACGGCUCCUUCUCCGGGUUCUUGUGCAGCUCCACCCGCGACAGGGCCAGCGCUGCCUGGAACUUCUCGCGGAUCUCUGGCCCCGGAGCGUUCGCCAUCGCGGCCUGAGCUGACGGCCGCCUCCCCGUCCGUGGACCAGCAGCCACUGGAGGCCUCCGCGUUGCGACACUUCAUUUACGACGUGUCGUGACUGUGGAGCGCCGACCAAUGAAGUCGGUAGAGGGGAGCGCUAGACGCUCGGCAGCAGCCAAUGGGAGGAUGUUCUGGUCGCCACAACAGCCGUCGUCAAGGAAACGAAGCUGUCAGGGAAUACAGAGCCUUCCGCUGCUACCCUUGAGCAGUAUGGCUUCUCCUGCUUCAUCCCAAAAUGUAGUUUAUACAAAAAUGUUCAGAAUCAGAAUGAUUCUUAGGGGUAAGGUACUAGCCUAUCGUAAAGUCAAUCCCUAGCUUAAAUGAAAUUUAACACUAACAUCUUUCGAUAACUGCUCAAGUUCAUAGGCAAGAAUCUUUCACCACUAAUGUAUUACGCUAUCACAGUUAAAAAUUAUAGUUGUAGGAAACUACAACCCAGGUACCCAGGUCUCAGGGAUCAAAUUCAGAUCCUCAGGCUCAGCCUCCGCAGCCUUUACUUACUAGAGCCACCUCACACCACCACCGCCCAGUCCCUGAAAAUUCUAUAAAGGCUCUGAGCUAGGCAUGGUGCCAAUUAUCUGCAGGCUGACACAGGGGCCAGUGUUGAUAUGUAUUGUAAUGCUAAAUUCUGUAGCCUAUGAUUAAAUUCUCAUGCUUA